UUCGUCCUGAAUGAAAAGGGAACUUCGGUGAAAGUCCGAGACUAUACCCGUAGCUGUAAUUCUCUUUGUAAUCCGUACAUCAAAGGUCACUGUAAUAAAGCGGGAAGACCGUACGGAUGAGAUAAGUCAGAAGACCUGCCUUCUUCUUUA
rnacentral:ncRNA from 1 species